AUUGAACGCUGGCGGCAGGCCUAACACAUGCAAGUCGAGCGGAUGAAGGGAGCUUGCUCCUGGAUUCAGCGGCGGACGGGUGAGUAAUGCCUAGGAAUCUGCCUGGUAGUGGGGGAUAACGUCCGGAAACGGGCGCUAAUACCGCAUGCUUCCUGAUGGAGAAGCUGGGGGAUCUUCGGACCUCACGCUCUCAGAUGAGCCUAGGUCGGAUUAGAUAGUUGGUGGGUUAAAGGCCUACCUAGGCGACGAUCCGUAACUGGUCUGAGAGGAUGAUCAGUCACACUGGAACUGAGACACGGUCCAGAGUCCUACGGGAGGCAGCAGUGGGGAAUAUUGGACAAUGGGCGAAAGCAUGAUCCAGUGAUGCGGAGUGUGUGAAGAAGGUCUUCGGAUUGUAAAGACCUUUAAGUUGGGAGGAAGGGCAGUAAGUUAAUACCUUGCUGUUGUGACGUUACCAACAGAAUAAGCACCGGCUAACUUCGUG
rnacentral:rRNA from 1 species